AACGAACGCUGGCGGCAUGCCUAACACAUGCAAGUCGAACGAGACCUUCGGGUCUAGUGGCGCACGGGUGCGUAACGCGUGGGAACCUGCCCUUAGGUUCGGAAUAACUCCCCGAAAGGGGUGCUAAUACCGGAUAAUGUCUUCGGACCAAAGAUUUAUCGCCUUUGGAUGGGCCCGCGUUGGAUUAGCUAGUUGGUAGGGUAAAAGCCUACCAAGGCGACGAUCCAUAGCUGGUUUGAGAGGAUGAUCAGCCACACUGGGACUGAGACACGGCCCAGACUCCUACGGGAGGCAGCAGUGGGGAAUAUUGGACAAUGGGCGAAAGCCUGAUCCAGCUAUGCCGCGUGAGUGAUGAAGGCCUUAGGGUUGUAAAGCUCUUUUACCCGGGAUGAUAAUGACAGUACCGGGAGAAUAAGCUCCGGCUAACUCCGUG
rnacentral:rRNA from 1 species